UGCCCGGUGGUGUAAUUGGUAACACACAAGACUCUGGAUCUUGGUUUCCUGGUUCGAAUCCAGGCCGGGCAGCCA
rnacentral:tRNA from 1 species